UCACCGGCAGCUGUUCUCCCCAUCCGUGUGCAGGGACGUCUCGGCCCGUCGAAGACCCAGGCGGGCAAAGGAGUGGUACAAGAUGAGAAAACUGAGCUCAGAGAGGCAAAGCGAUAUGUACAGACUCACACCAUUGUAAGAUUUGAAGCCCAAAUGCAUGACUCCAAAAUCCAAGCCCUUUCUACUGUAUCACUCCAGGACUGAGGCAACUGAGUAAACUGGGAAGCCCCCUGAUCGUGUGGGGAGGGCUGGAGGAAGAAGCCACCAUGCUGGCUUGGAGGGAGCAGAGCAGGAAGGGGUGCCCAUCUUGGGGCCAAGCACUCUCAGGGCUCAUGCCAGGUUUGGGCACCAUGUGAUAAGAUGACCUGCAGGUCUGGCCUUGGAUUUCUGCAGAGGUUUGUUGGGAAGGCAUCACUUAGGAGGCUGGCAGACCAUGAGAAAG
rnacentral:lncRNA from 1 species